UACGUAGGUGGCAAGCGUUAUCCGGAAUACUGGGCGUAAAGCGUGCGCAGGCGGUGAUGUAAGACAGGUGUGAAAUCCCCGGGCUUAACCUGGGAACUGCAUUUGUGACUGCAUCGCUGGAGUGCGGCAGAGGGGGAUGGAAUUCCGCGUGUAGCAGUGAAAUGCGUAGAUAUGUGGAGGAACACCGAUGGCGAAGGCAGCCCCCUGGGUCAAAACUGACGCUCAUGCACGAAAGCGUGGGGAGCAAACAGG
rnacentral:rRNA from 1 species